rnacentral:rRNA from 1 species
UACGAAGGGUGCAAGCGUUACUCGGAAUUACUGGGCGUAAAGCGUGCGUAGGUGGUUUGUUAAGUCUGAUGUGAAAGCCCUGGGCUCAACCUGGGAAUUGCAUUGGAUACUGGCAGGCUAGAGUGCGGUAGAGGGUAGUGGAAUUCCGCGUGUAGCAGUGAAAUGCGUAGAUAUGCGGAGGAACACCGAUGGCGAAGGCAAUCCCCUGGGCCUGCACUGACGCUCAUGCACGAAAGCGUGGGGAGCAAACAGG